rnacentral:rRNA from 1 species
AGGAUGAACGCUGGCGGUGUGCUUAAUACAUGCAAGUCGAGCGGUAAGGCCUCUUCGGAGGUACACGAGCGGCGGACGGCUGAGUAACGCGUAGGAAUCUACCCCGAACUGAGGAAUAAGCACCAGAAAUGGUGUCUAAUGCCGCAUAUGCUCUUAGGAGUAAAGCUUCGGCGGUUUGGGAAGAGCCUGCGUCCGAUUAGCUUGUUGGUAAGGUAACGGCUUACCAAGGCGACGAUCGGUAGCUGGUCUGAGAGGAUGACCAGCCAGACUGGGACUGAGAACGGCCCAGACUCCUACGGGAGGCAGCAGUAGGGAAUUUUCCACAAUGGGCGAGAGCCUGAUGGAGCAACACCGCGUGCAGGAUGAAGGCCUUCGGGUCGUAAACUGCUUUAUCUGUGAUGUAUUUUGACUAGUAGCAGAUGAAUAAGGAUCGGCUAACUCCGUGCCAGCAGCCGCGGUAA